rnacentral:misc_RNA from 1 species
AACGCACCUUGCGCUCCUUGGUAUUCCGAGGAGCAUGCCUGUUUGAGUGUCAUUAAAUUAUCAACCUCUCGACUUUAUUGUCGGGAUGGCUUGGACUUGGAGUGUGCUGGCGCAAGUCAGCUCCUCUUAAAUGUAUUAGCAGAAUCUCUAUCCUGCAGUUGGUGUGAUAAUUAUCUACGCCUUCUAAGCUGUGGGAUGUUGAGCGACCGCUUCUAACCGUCCCUUGUGGACAAACCUUUUUUUAAUCUUGACCUCAAAUCAGGUAGGACUACCCGCUGAACUUAA